UACGAAGGGGGCUAGCGUUGCUCGGAAUCAUUGGGCGUAAAGGGUGCGUAGGCGGCGCGGUAAGUCGGGUGUGAAAUCUUGGAGCUUAACUCCGAAACUGCAUUCGAUACUGCCGUGCUUGAGGACUGGAGAGGAGACUGGAAUUUACGGUGUAGCGGUGAAAUGCGUAGAUAUCGUAAGGAAGACCAGUGGACGGAAGGCGGGUCUCUGGACAGUUCCUGACGCUGAGGCACGAAGGCCAGGGGAGCAAACGGG
rnacentral:rRNA from 1 species